AGCCGGGCGGUGGUGAACACAGAGCAAACUAUUCUUUCGCCUUUUACUAAAGAAUACCGCGUGUUCGCCGCAUGCGCCGGCAUAUGUCUAUUUUUGGAGGAUUUUCUCUUCAAAGAGAAU